UUUUUGGAGAGUUUGAUCCUGGCUCAGGACGAACGCUGGCGGCGUGCUUAACACAUGCAAGUCGAACGGGGUGUUUAUUUCGGUAAACACCAAGUGGCGAACGGGUGAGUAACGCGUAAGCAAUCUACCUUCAAGAUGGGGACAACACUUCGAAAGGGGUGCUAAUACCGAAUGAAUGUAAGAGUAUCGCAUGAGACACUUACUAAAGGAGGCCUCUGA
rnacentral:rRNA from 1 species